UUUUAAAAACUCAGAUUGUUCUUCUGCCCCGAAAUCUUGAGAACCACUGACUUAUGUGGUCAGAAGUGAUCGACUCCCUGGGCUGGGAAGCUCCAAUUUUCUCCUCCAGAUUUCCUGUGUCGCCCUCUCCUCCCUGUCCUCUGCCCCAUUAGGGAGGAUGCAUGGAUUCCUUCAGCAAGCUCUUUGUCCUUCGGUUUCCAGAGACAGACACGCAGAGGGACAAUGAAGAAACACAAAGAGAAGAUGGCUGUCUAUAAGUCAAAGUGAGAGUUCUGGACCGGAUUCUUCCCUCAGAGCCCUCGAAAGUAACCAAUCCCACCAGCAACUUGAUUUUGGACUUCUCAUCUCCAGAACUUGAAAAGGCUGGCAUAGAAGCUGUCUGAAUCUAUGAAAUCAAAAAAGGAUCAAAGUAGAGACACAAAUUCCUCUGAACUUGAAAUUGAAAUGAGUGUGUUGCCAGCAUCUAUUCAUCCGCCUAAAACCAAGUAAAUCAUUUCAGAAGAAGUUUUCAGCAGUCUAUCAAAGUGACAAGAGUGGUGAGGUAGUAAAGUAGAAACGCAUUGACAACUUUAUUCCUAUUGACUGGAUAAAUAAUCUUCAUGACUCAAAGUGAUGAAACGCAUCAGAAAUAGAAGCAAAAUGUUCACGUUUCAGUCCGUGAGUAGGGCUUGAAUCCCACAGGAGGAAUUAAGAAAAAGAAGCGAACACUCGGAGGAUAACAUCGCAAUAUUACUUAGCCAUUAUUCUUUACAGUGUUAGGCCCCUUCCAGAGAUGUUUGACUGAUUUGUUGCUUGUCCACGUAGAUGCGUGAAUACACUAAAUAGUCAUCAAAUAUGGGUCAAGUAGUGUGCUGGUUGUUUUACGUAUGUUCUCCUUUAAUUUACCCAACAAUAUUGUGACAUAUCAUCAUUAUUUUAAGAAUGAGAAAGCUUAAAGUUAAUAGAGAUUAAAAAAUAAUUUUCCAACUCUCUAUAAUGAGCAGGUAGUAAGAUCAGAAUUCAUAUCUUCAUCUGUCAAAACCAAAGCCCAUAUUCUAAAUCACUUACAGUGAGUAAAAGGGGCUUCUUAAAACUUUAUAUGUAAGAAUGUAAUCUUAAAUGAGAAAACAAACUAGCUUUUAAACUAUGUGCUGUGACUUUUCUGACACAAUGUGUUUAUAAUUUUUUUCCACUUGACAAAAAAAGAACCACAUAUUAGACUAAUUGUGCUUAGGGUACAGAAUAUGAGCAUGUUUUGACUUAAAAUGUAAAAUAAAUAAUGAACUAAUAGUAGACACCCCAACCUGAUCAUAGAAAACUUUUGUUUUUAAUUUCUCUUGGUAGUCAGUCUUUGUGAAUGUGGAUUUAAGCCACCAAAUCCUUUACUAUGUAUUACUAAAACAUAAGGCAAGGAGAAAGCAUUCCCAUUUCUGAUGUAGCAGCCUCGGAUAAAAGAGGCUAGUGAGAGGCCUUAAUGUGAGUGUUCCAUAAUCUUUUGUGCCAUGAAUCCCUCUGUAGUCUGAAGAAGCUUUGGAACUCUUCUCAGAAUGAUGUUUUUAAAUGAAUAAAAUAAUAUACAUAGAAUUCCCAAGGAAACCAAUUGUAUUGAAAUGUAGUCAUCAAGAGUUUAUUUUAAUGUAAUACAGUAAUAUAUGACCUUCUCUAUUAAUGUGUUAAGUAACAACAUCUGUGGUAGGUAUAAUAACUGUUUGCAUUUGAAGUAGGGGUGAAUGCAAAAUGUAUUGCAAGAUCUGCAAUAAGUGUAAUGAGAUAUGAAAAAAAUAUGUGAUUUCUCUUGGUGAGAAAGUUGCAUGUACUGCUAGUAACCAUGUGACAUGGUACCUACCUUCAUAUUUGGAGGUAAUGAGAAUUUUGUUCUUAGAGUUCAAUAAAAAUGAAUAUGUACUUUUUUCCUGCCCAAGUUCACCCAGGGGUUUAAAGGAUUUUGUAUUAGAACGUCUUUUCUAAAGAAUAAGAGCUGGAGGUAACAGGGAGAAGGACCGUAGAAAUUUGAGACCUGGUCAGAGACUGGGGCUACUGUGACACAUAUUUUGCUUGUGCAAUUGCUUUUGAAAGUUACUGUAUUUUGGGGGAAAAGAAUAAAAGGUGUUUAGAAGAAAAUGCUUGGCUACUUUGAUAUUUUAAUAUUUUCCCUAUAACAACAAAAAAAUUAGGCCAUUCUCCCUUUAAGUGCUUGAUAUGCACAAUACCAAAACUGGUAUUGUAAAACUGGCAGAGAUUUACAAGAAAUUUUCUAUCCCACUGGCCAAAAAAUAAUCCUAGCAAUAUGGUGUAACCGGUAUAAAAGAAGAAUAGAUGAGUCAAAAAUAAAAAUAAAUAAGUGAGUAAAUAAGUGGGAG
rnacentral:lncRNA from 1 species